UACGGAGGUGGCGAGCGUUGUCCGAAGUUACUGGGCGUAAAGCGCGCGUAGGCGGGUAGGUAAGUGAGGGGUGAAAGGCUGAGGCCUCAACCUCAUGUUUGUCCUCUCAUACUGUCUAUCUUGAGUGAGGUAGGGAGAAGUGGAAUGGCUGGUGUAGCGGUGAAAUGCGUAGAUAUCAGUCGGAACACCGGUGGCGAAGGCGGCUUCUUGGACCUUAACUGACGCUGAGGCGCGAAAGCUGGGGGGAGCGAACGGG
rnacentral:rRNA from 1 species